GAUGAACGCUGGCGGCGUGCCUAACACAUGCAAGUCGAGCGGCAGCGAGGGGUGCUUGCACCCUGUCGGCGAGCGGCGGACGGCCGAGUAACGCGUGGGAACGUGCCCCAAAGUGAGGAAUAACUGCCCGAAAGGGUAGCUAAUACCGCAUAUUAUCUUCGGAUCAAAGGAUUUAUCCGCUUUGGGAGCGGCUCGCGUCGGAUUAGGUAGUUGGUGAGGUAAUGGCUCACCAAGCCGACGAUCCGUAGCUGGUCUGAGAGGAUGACCAGCCAGACUGGAACUGAGACACGGUCCAGACUCCUACGGGAGGCAGCAGUGAGGAAUCUUCCACAAUGGGCGAAAGCCUGAUGGGGCAACGCCGCGUGCAGGACGAAGGCCUUCGGGUUGUAAACUGCUUUUAUAAGUGAGGAAUAUGACGGUAACUUAUGAAUAAGGAUCGGCUAACUACGUG
rnacentral:rRNA from 1 species